UUGGAGCCAGGGUGCCAGUACGAGUCAUCUCAGAGCUCUGGAGCAGGGAGGGAACUCUUGCGCUAGCCUGCCAAGGGAGAAUGGUGGGGCCGCAGUGGAUGCCAUAAUGCCCACACAAUGCCCAGGAGAGAGAAAGAGGAAGAGCCAUGAGAGGCCAAAUAAAAGGAGAGGGAGAGACUCAAAGGAAUAGGAAACACUCACCCACUUGGAAGACCAGAAUGAACAGGCACCACAGUAGGAAGGUGAGGAAGACAGUAAAGAAAAAAAAUCGGGUGGCACACCAACCUCCUCUCUUCCUGCUGCCCGGAGCUAUGGACACCUGAGUACCUCCUAAAGGCCUUGGAAAGACCUACUACAAAAGACAUGUUACCAAGACAAUAGUCUAAACCUCUGGGAGAUGAAGGGCCAGAAGGUCUGCUGAGUUCAAGAAUAUCAUCUCAUCUGUUUGACUAAUGAUGGCUUCAUAAUUACUGUAUAGACCAUGCACUCAAGAAAAACAGGAUAUGCCUUGUUUGACGGCCUUAUCACAGAGCAAAACUAAGUAAAAUUGUCCAAAUCUUCCAGAGCUGUUACGUAGACUGCAAAUAAAUUGAUUUAACAAUU